UUACCAGAAGUAGUUAGCCUAACCGCAAGGGGGGCGAUUACCACGGUAGGAUUCAUGACUGGGGUGAAGUCGUAACAAGGUAGCCGUAUCGGAAGGUGCGGCUGGAUCACCUCCUUUC
rnacentral:rRNA from 1 species